AGUGUGCCCUUUCCCUCCUGCCUUUUUAGUAGAUCCGGGUAAAUAUUGAUUUGCUCCCAGUUUACCUCCUCCCUGACUGGCCAUUUGCAGACUAAGGAACCAGCCUCUGUAGAGAUCUGAUUUUUGUGUUCCUUUCCGGCCCGUUCACCCCCCUUCCUUCUUCCAAGUGGCAUUGUAAAACUCACGGUGACAAAGAGACAGGGUAGUGCUCGAGACCCCAGUUCCUGAGGACUCGAAGCCUGUUUUACAUACGGGUCAGACGCGGCUGGAGGCCAAGGUCAAGUUGAAAGUUGCAGUCUAGCCAGCGUGAGAACUGCCAUGCAAGCCUGGAGACCCAGGCAGCUGCGAAAGGCCCACCGCCCACCUCCCCUCG
rfam:Equus caballus cont2.14103, whole genome shotgun sequence.